AGGGACCAAGAAAGAAUUACUGUACUCAGAUAUGUACAAUGACAAAUCACUGAAAAGAAUGGGAUUUGUCAAAACUAAGGGCAAAUGGACUCAUAAAGGGAAAGGAAUCCAAGAUGAAAGUGGUCAAGAUACUUCUACACCACUCAAAGGCAAAAGAAUCCCUACACAAGCACCUCCAAAAGAACCUCCAACCAGUCAGCCUCCUCCAAUACAAAGGCCAUCAGAUCCUCCACUCAGACUUGAGAAGUGGCAAUUAGAGUCUAUUGGAGAUAACAUUAUAACAGCACUGUUUAAUUCUGGAGUCUAUUUUAGCAAAGUCCAACAUCUCACUAAUAUGACCCAAGAAAAAAA
rnacentral:lncRNA from 1 species